rnacentral:rRNA from 1 species
UACGUAGGGUGCAAGCGUUAAUCGGAAUUACUGGGCGUAAAGCGUGCGCAGGCGGUUUUGUAAGUCUGUCGUGAAAGCCCCGGGCUCAACCUGGGAAUUGCGAUGGAGACUGCAAGGCUUGAAUCUGGCAGAGGGGGGUAGAAUUCCACGUGUAGCAGUGAAAUGCGUAGAGAUGUGGAGGAACACCGAUGGCGAAGGCAGCCCCCUGGGUCAAGAUUGACGCUCAUGCACGAAAGCGUGGGGAGCAAACAGGAUUAGAUACCCUUAGUAGUCC